rnacentral:rRNA from 1 species
UACGGGGGGAGCAAGCGUUGUUCGGAUUUACUAGGCGUUAAAGGGCGCGUAGGCGGCGUGACAAGUCACUUGUGAAAUCUCCGGGCUUAACUCGGAACGGUCCAAGUGAUACUGUCGUGCUAGAGUACAGAAGGGGCAACUGGAAUUCUCGGUGUAGCGGUGAAAUGCGUAGAUAUCGAGAGGAACACCUGCGGCGAAGGCGGGUUGCUGGGCUGAUACUGACGCUGAGGCGCGAAAGCCAGGGAGCGAACGGG